AUUGAACGCUGCGGCAGGCUUAACACAUGCAAGUCGAGCGAGCGGCGGACGGGUGAGUAAUGCUUAGGAAUCUGCCUAUUAGUGGGGGACAACAUCUCGAAAGGGAUGCUAAUACCGCAUACUCAUAGAUGAGCAUAAGUCGGAUUAGCUAGUUGGUGGGGUAAAGGCCUACCAAGGCGAAGAUCUGUAGCGGGGCUGAGAGGAUGAUCCGCCACACUGGGACUGGGACCAGGCCAAGACGUCGACGGGAGGGAGCAGGUGGGAAGAUUUGACAAAGGGGGGAACGCUGAACCAGCCAUGCCGGGGGGGUGAAGAAGGCCGUAUGGUUGUAAAGCUCUUUAAGCGAGGAGGCGUUACUCGCAGAAUAAGCACCGGCUAACUCUGUGCCAGCAGCCGCGGUAAUAC
rnacentral:rRNA from 1 species